rnacentral:rRNA from 1 species
AUUGAACGCUGGCGGCAGGCUUAACACAUGCAAGUCGAGCGGGGUGAUGGUGCUUGCACUAUCACUUAGCGGCGGACGGGUGAGUAAUGCUUAGGAAUCUGCCUAUUAGUGGGGGACAACAUCUCGAAAGGGAUGCUAAUACCGCAUACGUCCUACGGGAGAAAGCAGGGGAUCACUUGUGACCUUGCGCUAAUAGAUGAGCCUAAGUCGGAUUAGCUAGUUGGUGGGGUAAAGGCCUGCCAAGGCGACGAUCUGUAGCGGGUCUGAGAGGAUGAUCCGCCAGACUGGGACGGGGACACGGCCCAGACUCCUACGGGAGGCAGCAGUGGGGAAUAUUGGACAAUGGGGGGAACCCUGAUCCAGCCAUGCCGCGUGUGUGAAGAAGGCCUUAUGGUUGUAAAGCACUUUAAGCGAGGAGGAGGCUCUUUUGGUUAAUACCCAAGAUGAGUGGACGUUACUCGCAGAAUAAGCACCGGCUAACUCUGUGCCAGCCGCCGCCGUAA